UUUAAGAAGCGCGAUUAUUAUGUACUUACUAGUAAUAAACACGGAUGGUGACGAUCGAGCAGGCAGAAAAAAAGGCGAGAUGACACUCACUCGGAUCCACGGUGGUGACCAUGCCGGCGCCCUGGAAGUAGCACGAGCCGGCGGCGCGGCCCUGGGACUGGUAGUAGGCGUCGAACGCGAACGACGCGUGGCUGCGCACGUCGUCGGGCUGGUAGCACGCCUGCCCGGGCUGUAUCGCCGUGCAGUCGGCGCGCCCGGGCCCGCACGCCCAGUCCAUGGCCGCCUGCACCGCCUUCUGGUCCGCGUCGUCGGCGGCCACGCAGAAGGUCCGGUCCGUCGUGUCGUUCCCCAGGAACCCGUCCGCGCCGGACACGUGCAGGAGGUACACCGGGGUGCCGUUCCCGUAGAACAGGCCCCAGUUCGCCUCCGACACGGGGCCCGCCCGGAGGUCCUCGUUGAAGAGCUCGUAGAUGUAGGCGCUGGACUGCGCGCCGGCGCCGGGCGCCAUGGGCGUGCCGGCCUUCUCCUCCAGCACGUGCUUGAUCAGGUUCGAGUUGUACGCGUCCGCGUUGUCCCUUCCCGCGUACGGCUCCGCGCGCCGGUCCCCGUACGACGGCCACCCCGUCUCCGUCACCAGGAUCGGCACGCCCGCGCCGCCCGUCGCGUUCAGGUUCCGCACGGCCACGCGCACCGCGUCCAGCAUCGCGUCGAACACGUUCGUGUACCGGAGCAGCGUGUUCGGGUCCACCAUCUCCAUCGACGGCGGCAGCGGCCGGAACAGCGCGUUGUCCAGCGGGAUCACGCCCUUGCUCUGCAUCAGCGAGUAGUAGGGGUACAGGUUCAGCAUCAGCGGCGCCGACGUGUUGGCGAGGUGCGCCAGCAGCGGCGCCACGAACGACUUGUCCAGGGACUGGUUGAAGAAGGCCUGCGACGGCGGGAACGGGUCCACCACCACGGAGAAGGGCAGCGGCGUCGACACCGGGAUGGACGAGAGGUUGGCGGCGGCGAGCGCGGCCGCCAGGGACCGGAUGGCCGGGAGCAGCACGGGCAGCGCCGACGGGAGCGCGGUCGGGACCUCGUCCCCGACGGCGAUGGCGGAGACGACGUUCGGGGUGCUGGAGUUCACGCCCGCGAAGGGGACCACGCGGCGGGACACCCAGGAGGCGGCCGUCGCCGGGGAGGACCCCAGCGCCAGGAGCUCGUCGUUGGGGACCCCCACGAUGGCACGCACGCCGGAGGCCGCUAGCGCCGACAGCAGCCGCGGGUCCGCGUCGUACAGCCGCACGCGGGUGAUGCGCUGCGCGCGCAGGAACGACGCCAGGUCCGACGGCGACAGCAGGUUCGUCACCUGCGUGCCGAUCGUCACGCCCACGUACGGCUCGCCGGACCCCGCCGCCGACACCAGCACCGCCGAUGGGCCUGCUGCGGUUGCAACCAGUCAGCGAAACCCGGCAUUUGCAAUUGCCGACCCAACCCAGCAAGAAGAAGAGCAGGCGGGCGAAGGUUAUCAAGAUUCAAGAACGAAUCCAAUAGAGGAUGACUGGAGAUAGAGAGAACUUACAGCGAAGAGAGAUGAGGUGGAGCAAGAGGAGGAAGGGGAAGAGUAGCAAGCAGCUGCCACUGACACUCCCUCCUCCGCUCCUGCUCCCCAUUGGGAUUUGGUAGUGUGCCCUGCUGCGCCUGCUCCUGCUCGUGCCGGCCUCCGGGACUGCUUCUUUCGUCCAAGACUGCUUCUUUUGAUGCGCACUCGAUCGCUUUCUCCAGGAAUCUCCUUCCCUCCCACCCCCAAGAUUGCUGAUUUCUGCUGCGUGGCGUUGGCGUGGGAGUGGGAGCGUGCGUGCUUGCCGCUUGGUGCUGGAUGGAUGGAGCUGGUCCUGGAGUGAUGUCGGCGAGGUUGGUGAGGUGUCGGGGCAAAAGAUGCGUUGGGAUUGGGGGAUUUUCCGGGGCUCGGUUGGGAGUGGGUGAAUUACUGACUCUUUGUUUCUUGGUUAUUGGUGCCUUCUAGGGUUCAAGGUUCAUUAGCUGAUUAGUGUCGACUCCUCACUCCGCUGCUAUUCGGUGGGGACACAGGGUGGGGGAGAAAGCAGUGUGCCAGAGAGUCAGCAACCUGGACAAUGGGCACUGAAAUAUGCACAAGUCAUGUCAAUGGUGGACCCCCCCCUUUCUGGCCACCUUGCUAAACCCUUGUUUUUCCCCAGACAGUUUUAGUGCUGUAAUAACGAUCCAAAAAUGUUUUAGGCAAUAUUCGCGCCCGUUGAGCUUAAACUACAUUUUUCACAAGAAUUUCAUUGAAGAAGAAACUAGGGUG
rnacentral:misc_RNA from 1 species